rnacentral:rRNA from 1 species
UACGUAGGGUGCGAGCGUUAAUCGGAAUUACUGGGCGUAAAGCGUGCGCAGGCGGUGAUGUAAGACAGGUGUGAAAUCCCCGGGCUUAACCUGGGAACUGCAUUUGUGACUGCAUCGCUGGAGUGCGGCAGAGGGGGGAUGGAAUUCCGCGUGUAGCAGUGAAAUGCGUAGAUAUGCGGAGGAACACCGAUGGCGAAGGCAAUCCCCUGGGCCUGCACUGACGCUCAUGCACGAAAGCGUGGGGAGCGAACAGG